ensembl:lncRNA
AUAGGAGACGGGACAGGGCGCUGUGCAAAUGGGGAGAAGAAAAAACGAAAGGACAGAGUAGGGAGGUGGUUUGCAGAACCGCUUGACUGAUCACACUGUAGCUAGCUCCCCCGACACUGUGCAGAGUAAAAGAGAGAGGUAGACCGGGAGAGAGAGGUGGAAGGAGAAGAACCGGGGUAGGCCUCGGCCUAGGUUUUAGGGGAAAGGGUUAUACACUCAAAGAAGAACUCCGUUCUAGGCAUGAAUAGAAUGGAUACAAAACUUUGAGACUGCACUAUUAUCUAGGCUGUAAUGGCAUUAUUCAGUUCGAUGCUGUUUGACUACACGUUGGGCUGCAUGCUGUAGCCAUGUGCCCAUCAAUACAAUGAUGGGGAGAAGUUAUAGAACAAAGGGAGAGAAGGUAAGAUUCUGUAAUUUGAGAGUUAUUGUGUGUAUAAAGGAUCCAUGCAAAGUAGCCUAUAGUGGGCUAAUGCACAGUGAUCCUACAUUGGAGUGGGGGAAGAUACAACUGAAAAAGGGACUUCUCUCCUUCCCUCCCCUCUUCUGAGUGUUGGCCCUCUGCGCCUCUUCCUUCUCCCUGCCUCCCUUUCUUCUCGCUCCCCCAUUCCUUAAGAAUAUGCAAAUCACGCCCUCCUCUCCCUCUCUUUCUCUCUUCCUCGAAGUGCAUCCCUUGCUCGCCCUCAGUAGAUUUUGUGACUGUACCGACGGCAAAAAGUGCAAGUCGUCUUGACGGAGGAAGGGGGAGAAAGAGAAGGGGGAGAAGGGGGUGGGGAAGAGGCAAACGUACGCAUCAAUUCGUACAGUCUUCAGCGGCACCCCGUUUUUUCCUGCAACGAUUUGGGAAGGAGAGAGAAAUUUCUGCAUUAUUUGCGGAACCGUUGCAAUAUGAUCCAGCAGCCUCUGUUUAUAGGUGCGCGUGCUGCCCCUAUGUGUGUAUGUCAACGUACAGUAUAAACCGAGAGAGACGGUUAAAGAAAGGGAGAGUGAAAGGGGACACGCAUCGCUGGAUAUCAUAGGUUGUAGAAGCUCAGAUGGUGGUGAGGUGAUUUUCAGUCCUACAGAGAAAGACAAGGACACCACUUCAUUCACUGCUAUGGCCUGUGGGGAGGGAUGGACAUCAUAAAGGAGUAACGAUGAAAACUCGAACUCACAAAGAAUCGAUGCCAAUGCGCAGUGGGCGGAGGCGGGGGGGAAGCAACGAGGAGAGGAGGGGUAGACGCCCGCAUCCCAGCCCUUCUCGUGCAGAACGAAACGACAGGCAGACGCAAAGAGCUGCUGGCGAGGAAUUGGCUGUCAGUCGCUUCAAUCACAGAUCACAAGGCCAUGAUUCGUCAGAGAGUGAAGGGGAGGAACUUGUGCCUCCACCAAAGAGGCAGAAAGUCCAGGAUUCUUCCUCUGUCACCAACCCACCGACUUCAACUCAUUCAACUGACAGUACUCCCCCCACUAUACCGCCCCCACCCUCGGCUCCCAGACAGUCACGUGACAGUGACAACGAGGAUGGUCAAUCCCAGGGCAGCAGGAGUUCAGUUGUAGGGAGCUUGGCCAAUAGUCUGAGCAGUGGGCGGGACAUCGACCAGGACAAUCGAUCUUCCUCCCCGAGUCUCUCUGCCUCGCCUCCAGCCAGUUUAGACUCUGACUCUGAUGGUCCAGACUCACCAAAGCAAGGAGAGGGGGAACGGGAGAAAAGGAAAGAGGGAGGAGUGGGGAAGACAGGAGGAGAGGAAAGGAGAGCAGCCAGAGAGGGGAGAGGGGAUGAGUCUUGCGGGGAUGGAGAAAGGAAGGAUGGAGGAAUAGAGGACAGCCCUUCUCUGAAGCUGCCAUCCUCCUCCAUCUCUUCCUCUGCUCCUGUUCCCUCUCUCCGCGGAGCAGGGGAUUCAGCCAAUGACAGCAAUAGUGUCAGGAAGUCCUAUUUCUCACAGGACUCCAAGCUGGUGAGCAAGAUGGAGUAUGGACCGGCCAGCGCUGACACUGUGCACAGUGGCAAUCGAAUGAACUCCAAAGCUAAAGCUCAGUGCGUGACCAAGGCAACUGUCGCCGGGGGAGACUAUCCCCACGGCAACCCCAACAUUCCACACCCCCCUCCACCACCCCUUCCUCCUCCACCAGCGCUGAAACCCUUAGAACUAGGGGGGCAGAACCUGCCCUCAGAAGUCAAGGUAGAGAGAGAGAAAAUAGAGAAAGGUGAGAAACUGAUGGACAACAAGACGGCUCCUCCCUCUCUGUUACCCCAAACCAGCCCCUUACCCCCCUCCCAGCCCCCGCCCCACCCCCACCACUAUAGCCCCACUGGCUGGCAGGGAGGCACCGCAACCGGUUGCCAGGGGAGCUGGGGCUACACCCGUUACUCUGGUAACCACCACACUCACCAGCCGCAGCACCAACCCCCAGUGCAGCAGCAGCAACUGCCAUCCGUCUACAACCCCCCUUCCUCCCGUCAUUCGUCCUCCUCCCACCCCCCUUACCUCCCCCACCCCCAUAAGGAGUACCUCCCCAGGUACGCUUCCGGGGGAGGGGAAAGGGAGAGGGGGGUGGCCGGCGAGAGGGAG